UACAGAGGUCCCAAGCGUUGUUCGGAUUCACUGGGCGUAAAGGGUGCGUAGGUGGCCAGGUAAGUUCGAUGUGAAAUCUCCGGGCUUAACCCGGAAAGUGCAUUGAAUACUAUCUGGCUAGAGGGUUGGAGGGGGGACUGGAAUUCUCGGUGUAGCAGUGAAAUGCGUAGAUAUCGAGAGGAACACCUGCGGCGAAGGCGGGUUGCUGGGCUGACACUGACGCUGAUGCGCGAAAGCCAGGGGAGCGAACGGG
rnacentral:rRNA from 1 species